rnacentral:piRNA from 1 species
UUGGAACAGAAACCAGAUGAUGCACAGU